UACGAAGGGGGGCUAGCGUUGCUCGGAAUCACUGGGCGUAAAGGGUGCGUAGGCGGGUUUUUAAGUCAGGGGUGAAAUCCUGGAGCUCAACUCCAGAACUGCCUUUGAUACUGAAGAUCUUGAGUCCGGGAGAGGUGAGUGGAACUGCGAGUGUAGAGGUGAAAUUCGUAGAUAUUCGCAAGAACACCAGUGGCGAAGGCGGCUCACUGGCCCGGUACUGACGCUGAGACGCGAAAGCGUGGGGAGCGAACAGG
rnacentral:rRNA from 1 species